UGUACGGCCAGUCAGUAUGCGUGUUGGGCUGUGCGGUACAUGUGGAUGAAUUGUGUUGUUCACGAUUUGACUCAGCAAUCUGUAACUUUUUCGGUUCGUUUGAUUAUGAACUGUUUUUUCUUGUAUUUUACAGGACGCGUGUAUUUGAGCAGACAUGAGGCCUACUGACUGCAUUCCAGACACGUAAAGCACAACUCAUAAUGCUGGCCUCUGAAAGUAGGCUUGAUUGCAGAGUUGAAAGCCACGAGGGCGCACGCAGUCUGGGCCAAUCGUGAGUGAGUCUCGAUUAGAAGAGAGACCGGCAUGUGUUUUGUUUUACUUAUUUUAUUGGAAAUUGGCUAGACGCAUCCUUCAGGUUUGUAUAAUAAGUUCAAAUAAUCGUGGUGGUAAAAUUUGACAUGAAAUAAAAGUUUUUUUUGUUAAACACUG